rnacentral:ncRNA from 2 species
UGACAAUUUAAAGCGCCUGAACUAAGGGAUCGAAAAUAACUUAGUUGACGAGGAUGGAGGUUAUCGAAAUUUCGGCGGAUGCCUCCCGGUUGAUUGGUUACAACCGUAAGUUUUUCCUUAAACCAAAGAGGUAACUUUUUGUACAAAGGGAGAAGCGUAGCCUUCC